GUUGGCCUCGGAUCAGGUGGGGAUACCCGCUGAACUUAAGCAUAUCAAUAAGCGGAGGAAAAGAAACCAACAGGGAUUGCCUCAGUAACGGCGAGUGAAGCGGCAACAGCUCAAAUUUGAAAUCUGGCGCAAGCCCGAGUUGUAAUUUGCAGAGGAUGUUUCGGGUGAAGCCACGGUCCAAGUCCCUUGGAACAGGACGUCAUAGAGGGUGAGAACCCCGUACCUGGCCGUCGGUGCCCCCCGCUGUGAAACUCCUUCGACGAGUCGAGUUGUUUGGGAAUGCAGCUCUAAAUUGGUGGUAAAUUCCAUCUAAAGCUAAAUACCGGCCAGAGACCGAUAGCGCACAAGUAGAGUGAUCGAAAGAUGAAAAGCACUUUGAAAAGAGAGUUAAAAAGUACGUGAAAUUGUUGAAAGGGAAGCGCUUGCGGCCAGACUUGCCCGCGGUUGCUCAGCCCGCCUUUUGGCGGGUGCACUCUUCCGCGGUCAGGCCAGCAUCGGUUUGGGCGGCCGGAUAAAGGCGCCGGGAACGUGGCCUCCCCUCGGGGAGGUGUUAUAGCCCGGCGUGCAAUGCGGCCAGCCCGGACCGAGGUUCGCGCUCUGCUAGGAUGCUGGCGUAAUGGCCGUAAGCGGCCCGUCUUGAAACACGGACCAAGGAGUCUAACAUCUAUGCGAGUGUUUGGGUGUCAAACCCGUGCGCGUAAUGAAAGUGAACGGAGGUGGGAACCGCAAGGUGCACCAUCGACCGAUCCUGAUGUCUUCGGAAGGAUUUGAGUAAGAGCAUAGCUGUUGGGACCCGAAAGAUGGUGAACUAUGCGUGAAUAGGGUGAAGCCAGAGGAAACUCUGGUGGAGGCUCGCAGCGGUUCUGACGUGCAAAUCGAUCGUCAAAUUUGCGUAUAGGGGCGAAAGACUAAUCGA
rnacentral:rRNA from 1 species